UUUAACUACGGUGCGAAAUGGAAUACAACGAAAUGGAAUUCUCGCGUUUUGUUCGUUCGAUAUGCGAAACGGAUUCCGCGCUCGGAAAGCGUCACUUCAGGAACGUUCCGAACGAAAUCGAAUAGUUUACGAUACAGCCCGCACCCGAUAACAAUUGCGGUACGCUCGGUCGACGCGAAACGCGAGCCGACGCGGUUCAAUCGAGCGGC